rnacentral:rRNA from 1 species
AUUGAACGCUGGCGGCAGGCUUAACACAUGCAAGUCGAACGAGUGGCGGACGGGUGAGUAAUGCUAGGGAAUCUAGCUUAUGGUGGGGGCUAAAUACGGAAACAUGUAGCUAAUACCGCGUACCAUAGGAUGAGCCCAAGGGGGAUUAGGUAGUUGGUGAGGUAAAGGAGCACUAAGCCGACGAUCUCUCGCUGGUCUGAGAGGAUGACCAGACAUACUGGGACGGUGACACGGCCCAUGCUCCUACGUGAUGCAGCAGUGGGGAGUAUUGCGCAAUGGGGGCAACCUGACGCAGCCAGGCCGCGUGAAUGAGGAAGGCCUUCGGGUUGUAAAGUUCUUUCGGUAGCGAGGCGUUAAAUACAGAAGAAGCACCGGCUAAAUCCGUGCCAGCAGCCGCGGUAAUUC